AGCAAUUCAGACCCACGUGAAAUCGCAGCCAGUGACAGAACAGGUAGGAGACAUGACAGAAACAUAAACAAAACACACGUGUCCAGAUGUCAUUACAGUCAACAACGGAAAAGCAGGUGCUCGCGCAUUCGCGCUUAGAGCACGCUGCUUCAAGGGGGAAUCGUGACAAGAUGCCAGAUUUUAAUAUUCAGCUAAAGAAAAUAUACCUUCAGAAUUUGUGAAGAUGAGUCUACAUUCUGCAAUCUGGUGACAGAAAGUGGAAUAGAGGUGGACAGUAAUCGUUUGGAGUCAGAUGGUUCCUCUAGAGAUGAUCAUCAUUGCACCCAACAUUCACAGCAUGAGUCUUCAUUCUGUAAUAUGCAGGUGCCAGAUGAAACAUUUGCUGAUGACCAGUAUUGUAUACCGCAGUCACAAGUGGAAACAAGCACUCCUCAGAUAUUGAGCCAGACCUGAAACCAUCUACAGAGCUAGCCUAGAAAACCGCAUCUGAGCAAGCAACAGAACCAACCAGUACCACAUCUGUUCCCAAAGGUGUUAAGGUGGUAAAGAAAAAGAGAUGGGAGACCAGUGAAGUGAAAGCAGUUGAAAAACAUCUGUACAGGUUCAUAUAAACUUGCACAGCGCCAGGAAAAAAAACAUUGUGAGGCCUGUAUUAAAGCUGAGCCUGUUGCACUGAAAGGCAGGGAUUGGUUGUCCGUUAGGUUCUUUGUAAAAAAUAGAAUCACUGCCCUUAAAAGGAAAAUGUAACCCAGAAAAAGUCUGCAUGGUUUCAUUUGGUUUUAUUUGCACA
ensembl:lncRNA